GAUGAACGCUGGCGGCGUGCCUAAUACAUGCAAGUCGAGCGAACAGACGAGGAGCUUGCUCCUCUGACGUUAGCGGCGGACGGGUGAGUAACACGUGGAUAACCUACCUAUAAGACUGGGAUAACUUCGGGAAACCGGAGCUGAUACCGGAUAAUAUAUUGAACCGCAUGGUUCAAUAGUGAAAGACGGUUUUGCUGUCACUUAUAGAUGGAUCCGCGCCGCAUUAGCUAGUUGGUAAGGUAACGGCUUACCAAGGCAACGAUGCGUAGCCGACCUGAGAGGGUGAUCGGCCACACUGGAACUGAGACACGGUCCAGACUCCUACGGGAGGCAGCAGUAGGGAAUCUUCCGCAAAGGGCGAAAGCCUGACGGAGCAACGCCGCGUGAGUGAUGAAGGUCUUCGGAUCGUAAAACUCUGUUAUUAGGGAAGAACAAAUGUGUAAGUAACUAUGCACGUCUUGACGGUACCUAAUCAGAAAGCCACGGCUAACUACGUG
rnacentral:rRNA from 1 species